UACAGAGGGUGCAAGCGUUGUUCGGAAUUAUUGGGCGUAAAGCGCGUGUAGGCGGCGUGGCAAGUCGGGUGUGAAAGCCCUCAGCUCAACUGAGGAAGUGCGCCCGAAACUGCUGUGCUUGAGUGCCGGAGAGGGUGGCGGAAUUCCCCAAGUAGAGGUGAAAUUCGUAGAUAUGGGGAGGAACACCGGUGGCGAAGGCG
rnacentral:rRNA from 1 species